rnacentral:misc_RNA from 1 species
UCGCGUCUUACGACGGCAGUUUCACUAGAGUUCCCAGCAUUACCUGAUGGCAACUAAUGAUAGGGGUUGCGCUCGUUACGGGACUUAACCCAACACCUCACGGCACGAGCUGACGACAGCCAUGCAGCACCUAGUUUCGUGUCCUUGCGGAAGUCCCGCUUUCACGGGAUGUCACUAACUUUCAAGCCCAGGUAAGGUUCCUCGCGUAUCAUCGAAUUAAACCACAUGCUCCUCCGCUUGUGCGGGCCCCCGUCAAUUCCUUUGAGUUUCAACCUUGCGGUCGUACUCCCCAGGCGGGGCACUUAAUGCGUUAGCGCCGGCACUCGGGGGGUCGCUCCCCCAAGCACCUAGUGCCCAUCGUUUACGGCGUGGACUAC